rnacentral:ncRNA from 2 species
CUGGCGCGACAAUUGAACAGCCGCGUGUGCGUGCGGGGGAAGUCCGGUCGAAGUCCGGCGCUGGCCCGCAACGGUGGGCCGCCAGGGGUAUCCCUGGUGGCGAGCCCGAAUACCUGCCGUGCCCGCGAGUCCUGC